rnacentral:snoRNA from 1 species
AAGAUAAGGAACGAUAUAACUAGAUUUGAGCAAGGCGAGGAAGAGAGUUUGUAUGAUGCGUGGGAGCGUAUGAAAGGAUACACGAGAGCUUGUCCUCAUCAUGGUAU